AGGUCACGAUGUGGGCACUUCCUUAGCAAAUCAUUCAAUCUUUCCCAAGCCUCAUAGAAUGGUUCCCCAUCAUUUUGAGAGAAUCCCAUAAUGGUCGUCCGCAUAU